GUAGGUCGUAGUUAAUAUAAGAGUUAUUCUUUAAAUUUAUCAAUAUAGAAAGUUGUGGAACCCUAAGGUUUGAUUAUUGCAAAUUGAAUCCGCCUAAUACGGAUGUAAUUAUUGACAUAACCAUCGAAUACAUUACCUGUGAAGAUCAAGGACAUCAAUCAUGGAGACAAGUGCGUGAGGCGUGGUCAGUCUUGUUCUAUUGUAUAUAAACUAGAGCAAUAGUGUAAUCGAUAUCACUUGAGAAAACGCAUCCAAGAGACAAGCAAAAUGUUCUUCAGAAUCCUCGCAUUCUUCGCUAUCGUGGCGGUAGCUUUCGCCAGCCCAAAGCCGGAACCUGAGCCACAAGUAGUAGCCUACACCGCCCCGGCAGCCUUCCCCGCAUUCUAUGGAAGCGGAUACGUCCCAGCCGCUUACACGUUCCCUUACGCAUACAACCCUUACUUUGUACGAUAAACCUACAAAUUUACAAUUCCGCACUUGAUUUGAAAUGAUUGUAAAUUGUCACGACGACCAAUAUCAUGCUAACUGACUUUGUUUCGCCUUUCUAAAUAAAUUUUUGAAUUUUU